GGAUGUGAGGGCGAUCUGGCUGCGACAUCUGUCACCCCAUUGAUCGCCAGGGUUGAUUCGGCUGAUCUGGCUGGCUAGGCGGGUGUCCCCUUCCUCCCUCACCGCUCCAUGUGCGUCCCUCCCGAAGCUGCGCGCUCGGUCGAAGAGGACGACCUUCCCCGAUAGAGGAGGACCGGUCUUUGGUCAAGGGUAUAUGAGUAGCUGCGCUCCCCUGCUAGAACCUCCAAACAAGCUCUCAAGAAUAAACUAAAUCUCAGCAAAACUCCUGCAGAUUAAACCAACAAGCAAUGCAUGCGAGAUCAUUUUAUU
ensembl:misc_RNA 7SK 7SK RNA